UACGUAGGGUGCGAGCGUUGUCCGGAAUUAUUGGGCGUAAAGAGCUCGUAGGUGGCGGGUCACGUCGGGUGUGAAAACCUGCGGCUUAACCGCAGGCCUGCUUCCGAUACGGGCGAGCUAGAGUUCGGCAGGGGAGACUGGAAUUCCUGGUGUAGCGGUGGAAUGCGCAGAUAUCAGGAGGAACACCGGUGGCGAAGGCGGGUCUCUGGGCCGAUACUGACACUGAGAAGCGAAAGCGUGGGGAGCGAACAGG
rnacentral:rRNA from 1 species